GCUUUAUCCCCAGAAUCUUCACUUUCAUGAAUUGGCCAUUCAAGAUUGAAUUUAUCUGCUCAUAAUAAAUGAUAUGCAGGGAAUCAAAGAUAUUUUCCAUUUUCAUUUAAGAUUUUAAAUGCUGAAACAUCCUGUGUGACAGAUGGUACAUUAAACAGUGUAUACAGAUUCGCAUUAAAAAUAAAAAUGUAAAACAGAUUGAUAAACGUGUCCAGAACAGACGAUUUUAUUCCUAUUGCUGGGCCAUAUUGUUGGUUAACGGGAACAG